rnacentral:rRNA from 1 species
UACGAAGGGGGCUAGCGUUGCUCGGAAUCACUGGGCGUAAAGCGCACGUAGGCGGAUCUUUAAGUCAGGGGUGAAAUCCCGGGGCUCAACCUCGGAACUGCCUUUGAUACUGCAAGUCUCGAGUCCGGAAGAGGUGAGUGGAAUUCCUAGUGUAGAGGUGAAAUUCGUAGAUAUUAGGAAGAACACCAGUGGCGAAGGCGGCUCACUGGUCCGGUACUGACGCUGAGGUGCGAAAGCGUGGGGAGCAAACAGG